CAGCUGGUGAUCAGAUAGAGCUUGGGCCUACCACAGUCAGCAUGCCAUGCCACCAACGGCAUCCGUCUCUGGUCCCAAGGUGGGGUGCGUCACUUGAGUGGGUUGAGUCACCGAUGUGAUCUUCCUGCCUGGGUUGGUGCCCCCCCCUUGGGUUGUGCCGUGGCGGAGAUCUUUGUGGGCUAUACUCGGCCUUGUCUCAGGAUGGACCUGAGCCCUAGGACCAUGCCUCAGGACUACCUGGCAUGAUGACUCCUUGCUGUCCCCAGUCCACCUGGCUGUGCUGCUGCUCCAGUUUCAACUGUUCUGCCUGCGGCUAUGGAAUCCUGACCUGUUCACCGGACGUGCUACCUGUCCCAGAUCUAUUAUUUGACCAUUCUGGUCAUUUAUGAACAUUUGAACAUCUUGGCCAUGUUCUGUUAUAAUCUCCACCCGGCCCAUCAGAAGAGGACUGGUCACCCCUCAUAGCCUGGUUCCUCUCUAGGUUUCUUCCUAGGUUUUGGCCUUUCUAGGGAGUUUUUCCUAGCCAACGUGCUUCAACACCUGCAUUGCUUGCUGUCUGGGGUUUUAGGCUGGGUUUCUGUACAGCACUUUGAGAUAUCAGCUGAUGUACGAAGGGCUAUAUAAAUACAUUUGAUUUGAUUUGAUUUAUACUGUAAUUGAUUACUAUAUAGACAUGUAUAGUGUAAUUGAUAACUAUAUAGACAUGUAUAGUGUAAAUGAUGACUAUAUAGACACACAUAGUGUAAUUGUUGACUAUAUAGACAUGUAUAGUGUAAUUGUUGACUAUAUAGACAUGUAUAGUGUAAUUGAUGACUAUAUAGACAUGUAUAGUGUAAUUGUUGACUAUAUAGACAUGUAUGGUGUAAUUGAUGACUAUAUUGACACACAUAGUGUAAUUGAUGGCUAUAUAGACACGUAUAGUGUAAAUCAUGACUAUAUUGACAUGUAUAGUGUAAUUGAUGACUAUAUAGACAUGUAUAGUGUAAUUGAUGACUAUAUAGACAUGUAUAGUGUAAUUGAUGACUAU